AUAUGGUGGAACAGAGUAAAAAGGUCUAUGCUAGAGUUCGAGAGUCCAAACUGUUGGAUAUGUUUGUGAGAUCUGUGGUGAUAUCACUAGUGGUUUAUAAGACAAUAGAACAUGUUAGUUUGAAAGAAUCGGUGAUUAAUAAUAUAGAAUCAGGAUCUCAAGAAGAACAUAAACCAAGGGUACCUAGAAUAAAACUACAGCACGGAAGGGACAGGUGUACAAUAGAAUCUAGGUUAAAAUGGGUCUGUUGGUGAUAUCCACAAAUAUGUAUAAAAGAACAAUACUACUAUAUAAGAAGUAAAAAAAUAUGGAAACACAACAACACCACGAAAGAAAUAUUCCUUGAAUUCGUGAGCUUUUGUGAGAACCAUUGUCUUUAUUAUCGCUACAAAUCAUGAUUCUUGAAAGCGAUCCAAUAUGAU